rnacentral:lncRNA from 1 species
UUUAUAGUAAAAUACGUGUGUGUGUUUCGAAGGCUGGGGGCUUGGUGGAUUUAUUGGUGCCCUUAUUCAACUUUGCAAUAGUCUUCCAUAGUUUGGACAUGAAUGUAAAUUGAACUGUUUUAAAAAUAGUUUACAUCAUUGCUUGUGCCUAUCUUUUGAAAUAUGUCAACUUCCUCACUAUCUUGAGAAGAUAGGCUAACACAUUCUAUGUGAUGGAAAACUUUUCAAAGCUGUCUUUCACAUCCCAGGAUGUGUAAAGCCCUGCCCAUAGCUUCAUUCUCUGGCAGAAAUAUUAUACCAUUUACCCACAUAGAUAAAAACACUAUUCCAAAUAAAACUUAACAUUAAGCAAAGAGCUUUGGUAUUGGUUCAAUUCUCGCUUUCUAUCUCAAAUAGGAAAGUUUACUAUUUUAAGGAAAAACAACUUUGUAUGCAUGUUCAUAAUCAUUUUCCAGGAAAGCCAAAGAUUAGCAGGCCAAAAAGAAUUGGAAAACUUCACUUUAAAAGCCUUGACAUUUUUGCCCUUAGUUACCUGUGUGUUGAAAAGCAAAGGCCUAGUAAUGACUUAAUUAUUCUCUUCUUUUCUCUGGUGGAGUUUGUGUUUUGUAGAUGUAGAAAAAAGAGCCUUGACUAUUUCUGGCUUCUCUGCCCAGGGAAGGGAAGAAUUGGCUAAAAAAAUACACAUUCCUAGUAGACAUUUCUUAUUGACAGUGUACGGUAUUCUGUGAGCUGGGGAAGACAGAUACCCUUUUAUUGGGGGCAGGGGGAGGAUGUAGCAAAGGACCAAUUUUCCUGGAGAUCCUAUUACGUGAAGGGACUUAUACUGGACACAUCAUGGAGAAAAUCAGAAAGAAGGCUGCUUAAUAAGACCCACUCCUGGAUGCGGCCACUCUCAAUUCUCAGUGUCUUUGGGAAGCAAGGUUCGCCAUCCACUUGUCUAAACAGAUGAUGAUAGCAGAGGUGCUGCACACCUUCUCCCUGUGACUUGUGAAUGCCUUUCGUGCUCCCAAAUAAGGAACUCCUCUCACUGCUGUCUGCUCUGAGCUGUAUUUCAUUUUGAUAGCCAUUUGCAGGGGACACCUUUGAACUCCAUGCAAUGUAAAAGAUGUGGUUGAGAAAUUCUUCAAUGGAAUUUCUUCCCCUUUUCCCCCACCCUCAUUUUCCUCUGGGUGAUUUACAGCUUGAACAUUAGGUACUUAGAGACAGUAUGUCUGACCUACCUUUAAAAAUACACAUUAAGACACACACAAUUUGAAGAAAAAAGAAGCCAAAAAAAAAAAAAAAAAAAAACCUUGAGAAGGACAAAGGAUUAUAUAUUGAGGAAAUAUAGUAUAUGGUUAAAUUCAGAAAUCAGAAGAGUUGAAAGAAAAUAUGUGGAAAAAAAAUUGUUUUUAUUGAAUUACAGAUUCAGCUAUUCCCAGUUUCACUUUCACUUGCUGGAUCAUAAUGUCCAAUGUCUUCUUCAAAUUUAAUUUUAGUGUCAUGUCUCUAAAGUAAAUAUGUUUGAGAGUAGGCAUACUCACUUUGUUACUAUUAGGAGACGAUACACCUCUUUGGUACAUCUCCAGUGUACUCAUUCAUAAUAAUUUAACUUUGACAUAAAUUGCUCAUUGCCUUCUGUCUUUUCCCCAAUAAAGUAGCCAAAGUAUUUUGAGUAAUGUUGCUUCCGAAAACAAAUACAACUUCUUAGCUUUCAUCUUGAAAUAUUUAAACGUGAAAUCUAAAUUGCAGUGCUACAUCAAUCAGUGUCCAGCAGCACAAAUUGAUUGUCUUGUCCAUAUCUUGUCAGUAAUCAGUGAGUUUCUACUUCUCAGGUGCAUGUUUACUUUUCUAGGCUACAUUGAUCAGUCAUGGUUUCAGCCAUUUUUACCUUGGAGUUUGUGCCCUGUGAUUUGAGGGCAUUGGAAGGCUUUUGAAGGUCUAAUAUUCUAGUAUUUGCGCAUACACUUUCAAGAGAGGGUGAUUGGAACACAGGCAUCUAUGUCUGAUGGCAUUUGGAAGAUCUUCUCAGCUGAUGUCACCUUUUCUUUCUCACCUUGGGGCUGUAAGAGAAGCAGCAACCUCUGUGGUAGGAAGAGUACAGCCUUUGGAGUCAAACCAAAUUAGAUUAAAAUUCCAGACCUACUACGACCAUGGACCAAUUGCUUAGUAUGUUUGAAACACAGUUUCUUCCUCUGUAAAAUAAGGAUUAUAAUAACGAUUAUAAUACCCACCUUAGUAUCUUUUUUUUUGUUUUUUUUUUUUACCAUUUCCCACAUGUCAGGCAUCAUUUUCACAUGGACUAAAGGCAAACAUUAUGAUCCUUCACACUUUACAGGUUACUAUACAGAGGUUUAGAGAGGUUAAAAGAAAAAAACACCCAAGAACACACAUAGUUGUUAAGUAGUGGGUCCUCUUGUUGAUUAUCUUAUUCCAGUAGAAUUUGUUUUUAGGAAAGGACAUGCAGGUUUCAAAAAUAUAUACAUAAUAAAUAUGUUUCCCAAAUGCGAUUUAGUUUAAGCCCUUGGUUAUGAUAUUAGAGAUAUACUAAAGUAUUAAUACUACAGUGUUAAAGCUGUAAUUUCUAUUUCACCCACGUUGCUGCAUCACAUACUGACGUUGUUUGAGAGUGUGCUUUUAAGUGGCUGUGGAGGACUAUAUGCUAUGAGAGCUGCUUUAUGCUUUUCUUUUUGAAGAUGUUGAUGGUGCUCUCAUCUUGAUGAGCACAACUCCUUUUCAGUAAAGAUUCUGGAUAAAUGUCUGUUGCAUGGAAUUGAAUGCUAGUCUAUAAGGCAAUUUUUAUACCUUAGAUGAAGAGUGGAUGCCAUUUGCAGAAGAGCUUGACAUUCUCAGGGAGUCAUUUUAUAGCCUAAAAGAAUUUUAUAUUUGUGAUUAUAUGACUCUUGAUAAAGAAUAAAAAAAAGAGAAUGAUUUACUGGGAAUUUAAAAGUUUCAUUCUACUGUGGCUUCAUCUGCUGCCCAUUUGCAGGACACUGAUAACUUCAGCUUCUUCUCCUGCUUCAUCUGCAGGCUCUUGAAGUCUGUGGGAUGCCCAAGUGUGUAUAGAAACUCGGAAAUAGCACAGUCCCUCUGGUUAAGAAUAACAUGUCAGUUUUCUUCUCUUGCUUUUGUGUGCUCUCUGGAGCUCACCCAUGCAUGAUGUUCCAGUGGACUUCAAAGGCAAGUCUAUGGUUGGAUUAGCUCCACAGGACAGAGAGCAAGGUAAGAAAUAGGCUUAGUGCUAUCAAGGCCCACUGGGGAGCUGAUAGAGCCGAGCUAUGUGGUUUCCAAAAUGAUUUGUUCAUUCAUGUCCUCAUGGAAGAAUAGGCAAAUUUGCAUAAUACUUUCUAUUUUAUUAUCACCAUUAAAAUUUCUGCAUUUUCAAAAUGGUGUCUGGACAGUACUCCAAAAGGCUGAUUUAUAGCUAUAUAAUACCUGCACUUGAGGGGUUGAAGAUCUAAAAAAAGAGAUAUAGAUAUAAUAAAUUUGGAAUUAGAAAAUACUACUAAAGUCAUAAAGACAUAAAAUAUUCAAAUCAUAGGGUAAUUUGGGAUAUUAAGAAAGGAAUGGAGGAAAGAAUGGUGUGUACUUCAGAAAUUGCAACUAAGGGAUAUUUGCUUUCCAGAGGUUGCUAGCAAAGAUGGGCUUCUUAUAGAAUUCUAGAGCCAGGCAUUACUGAGGAAAGGAAGGUGGAAGAUUAAGUGAUUUAAAGACUUAGGAAAGACUUUAGGGGAAGGUUUAGAAAUAAAAUAGGAAUGGUUAGAUGAUGAGGGUACGGAGGUGACUUGACUGAGAAGAAUAUGGCAGACUAACGAGGGUUAAGAGACAUAGUGCAUGGGGCAGAGUCAGGUGCCCACAUGCGCUUUGAAGUUAGGAAAGCCAGCAAUAUAAAAUAUCAACGUGGAAACCUAAGGAGGAAGUAGAUGUGGUGAGGUCCAUGGAUAAGCAGUGGAAGCAAACCUAGCAAUCCUGCUGAGCAUUGAUAAUAGGCUUUUUCAUGAAGACUUGGAGCCAUGGAAAGGCAGAUGAAGAAUCUUAAUUUUCAGAAAUCAAAAGACCAGAUAAGAAAGGCCACAAUAAUCCAGGUGACAGUGCAACAGAUCCAGGACUGAAACUAUAGCUAUGAUGUGAAAACCAAAAAGGGGGAUAAAUUUAAUAGUUGUAAAAAAUUAUAUAAAACAAAAUAACAACAACAUCAGCACAAUUUAACACUACAGAGAGGAGGAUUCAGAAACAUUAAAGGAUAGAAAAAAAUUAAAAACUGGUCAUAGGUUUUGCUUCUGUGAUAGAAAAGCUACUCAUAGAGCAGGACUGAGUAAGAAUACGCAGGAUCCCAGCAAACCUUUAAGGGAACAAACAUACUUAAUGCAUGGUUUUUCCUCUGUCUCUGCAAUGAGGAAGAGAAAGGAUAAGGUUAUUUCUUUGCACUGUGAUUUAUUCCAUUUUAUCUUCAGGAUCACAAGUAUGUGUUGCUUAACUUUAUAUAAAGCUAAAAGCACUUUUUAAUUGUGUAGUUCCCCUCUGCCAGUUCUUUGAGGUCAUUUUAUUCAGCAUUGUCUAGGGAGACACGGCAGAGAGAAAUUGCAAUCUGUGUGGUAAAGAAAUCCGUAGACUUGGUAUGACUGAAUGUCAGGUUGAAUCUCAGCUGUGGUUAUAUCCUUCUAAGUGAAUAGAGCAGAAACAGAAAUGAAUUAUUUGUCUCCAGAAAUUGUCUUUCUGUCUUUGCUUUUGGAGACAGUGGCAUAUGUACUAAGGCUGGAACAAUUCUGCUUUGAUUUGUCAUCAAACACUUGGUAUUGGGCUUUGAAAGGGAAGGAAAAUAUUGUGUAAUUCAAAUGAGCUUUUCAUUUGAAAAUGGAAGGCUCUUUGUAUAGCUAUCGUUCCUAAUUAUCAGUAGAUAUUUCUCUUCUAAGAUGUACACCAUAAUUUUAUGACCUGAGAACUACUCGAUAUUUGCUUCAGUAUCUAUAAAACACAUUUUGAUUUAAUUUCUUACAUCGUAGAAAGUAUAACCAGAUUAUCUGUAGUCUUCUCUUAACUGAAAAUUCUGGUAGAGGAAACCAUGAAGUGGAAGCAUCUCAUUUCAUUGUCGUAAGGAAGGCUGAACUUGGAAAAAGGACUUGUUUAAGGUCACACAGCUAGGUAGUGACAGAGCCAGGGAAGUCUCAAAGCUAUUUAUACCCAGAUGAGCCUCCUUUAACUUAUGGUGUACUGUCCCUUCUCAGUGUAGGAGAUUCUGAACUGUAGACAAACACCAGUGAGUAUAAUUGGCAUUCCCCAAUAAAUCAGGUAUCAGUUUGGAUGUUUCAUAGUGUGCCCAUACACCUAUCAUACAAGCAUUAUUAUAAAUAAAGUGUAAGCACUCUGAUAGUGACUGACAGGGCUUAAAUAGGAGUUAAAAAAGAGACUUUUAGUGAACACUAAUUAUUUAAGAAAUUGCCUUUUGUCUGAUUUCCUUAGGAGAUUUAACAAGAAAACAAUACAUCUGACUCCAUUUUAUUCCAUGUUUUGCUUGCUGUAGAGCCUGCCAUCCUAGGACCAGGGCAAAUUGCUCCCAAAUUUUCUCAAAUGGAAAAGAGAAGCAGAGCAGCCUCUAGUAGAGCUGUGGUCUGGGUUGGCACUCGGGCACCAGUGCUCCGUGGCUCAAGUGCAUCCAUCCAUCCUCAUGUUUCUUUUGUCCCAAAUGCCCUCUCCCUUGUCCUGGUCCCUCUCCAUUAUUAUUCUGAUCGCUCUCCUCAUCUCAUUCAAACCUCUUGAAAAUUUGGUGUAUCUGUACUUUGGGUGUUUCCUUGUCUUUGCUUUUUUUUUUUUUUUUUUUUUUUUGAGACAAGGUCUCACUCUCUUGCCCAGCCUGGAGUGCAGUGGCACAGUCAUAGCCCGCUGCAGCCUCAAACUCCUGGGCUCAAGCAAUCUUCCCACCUCAGCCUCCCAAGGAGCUAGGACUACAGGUGCACACACCACUGUACCUGCCUAAUUCUUUUAUUUUAUUAAUUUUUUUGUAGAGAUGGGGGUCUCUGUAUGUUGCCCAGGCUAUUCUACAACUCCUGGCCUCGAGUUAUCCUCCUGCCUUGGCCUCCCAAAGUACUGAGAUUAUAGGCGUGAGCCACAAUGCCCAGUCUUUACUUUGUUUUACAAUUCCCAGCAUCUGGCUUCUGCUCCUACCUUACUACUGAUGAACCAGUAGUUCCUGAAUUGCUAAAUCCAGUGGGCUUUUAAAUUAUUUCCUAGAUCUCUCUGUGCAUUUGACCCCAUUGAUAGCUCCCUCCCUCUGAAAGUUGCCCAUUCCCCUGGCUUCCACUGUACCAUACCCUCUGGGUGGUCUUCUAAUUAUGUCUUUUUGCCUCCUUCCUGGACUUCCCUUCUUCCUCUUCCCCUGGGUUCAUCCUCAGCCCGUUGCUCUUGCCCUGUACACUUUUCCUCAGUACUUUCAUCCACCAUCAUGGUUUGUAGCUACUCAGACAUUUUAUUUGUAGUCCAGUCUCUUGUCUGCAGUUCAGACUCAAAUAUCCAACUGCUUGCCAUGUCCAACAGGCACCCUCCAACCUAACGUGUGCAAACUAACCUCAUCAUCAUCCCCCUUAACGUAGUUUCUCAUUCUAUGCUUUCUGUCUCAUUUUGUGGCACUGCUGUCGACUCAUUCAUCUAAACUAGAAACCCAAGAAUCACUUUUGGCUCUUUUUUGCCCACUUUUGUUUUCCAUAUCAAACCCAGUACCAGGAACUGCUAAUUUUUCUUUUCUUUUCUUUUCUUUUUUCUUUUUUUUUCUUUUUUUUUGAGACAGAGUUUCGCUCUGUCACCCAGGUUAGAGUGCAGUGGCCUGAUCUCGGCUCACUGCAAGCUCUGCCUGCGGGUUCAUGCCAUUCUCUUGCCUCAGCCUCCCGAGUAGCUGGGACUACAGGCGCCCACCACCACGCCUGGCUAAUUUUUUUGUAUUUUUAGUAGAGACGGGGUUUCACCGUGUUAGCUAGGAUGGUCUCAAUCUUCUGACCUCGUGAUCUGCCCGCCUCAGCCUUCCAAAGUGCUGGGAUUAGGGAACUGCUAAUUUUUCACACUAAACGUUUCGUGAAUCCAUCUGCAAGGCUCACGAUCACUACCACUGUUGUAGUUCAGAACUACUGCUACUUGUGAUGUUUCAUCUCUUGCUUGGACAUCUGCACCAUACAAAUGACCUUUCUUCCAUCAGCCUUGUCACCAUGCGAUCCACCUAACAUGCAACCCAAAGCAGACCUGCUGUGUGCAAGCUUAAAACCCUCUAGUGUUUCCCUACUCUGCCAGAUAAAGCACAAAAUAUUCCCAAGCUAAAUUCUAGCCUUAAAUCUGCUGCUUCCUCCCUCUUUCUAGUCUUAUCUCUAACAAUUUCCUGUCUUGCACUUUGCUUUCCAGCUACAUGCAACAGCUUGGAAUUCUACACAUGAACCAUAUUAUUUCUUUGCACAUACUGUCUACUUUGCCUCUAAGUCUCUUCUCACUCUUCUUUCCUGGCCCACUCCUACUUUUUCUUCAGUCAACACAAGUGUGUCACCUCCUCCAAGAAACUUUCCCUUAUGUGUCCUGUCCCCACCCCCAUCCCAACUAUCCUUAGCCUUAUCAAUACCCCGUACAUAAUCCAGUCAUUACAUUAAUUAUAUCAGUAUCCAAUUUAUGUUAACCUGAGCUAUACAGUUCAUUGAUAGCUGUUAGCAACUUAUUUUCUUCAACUAAAUUCAGACUUCCUUGAAUAAGAAUUUGGCACAGAACUGGAACGAUCUUUGUCUGUUCCACUGCUGAUAAUUGAGUCAUGAAGUUGUUCAUGUAAGGAUGCAUUUAUAUAUUUUUUAACUUUUAAUUUUUUUUCUUUCAUUUCUUCUGAGGAAGAGCAAACAAGUCACAGAUACAAGUAUCUGUCCUCUUCUCUUAUGACAUCCAUACUUUAUGUAUAUUUUACUCCAAAAAGAGGCUAAAAUUAAGGAAGAUGAAGUUAUUGGCUUGCAUGGAGCAUCAUAGUGUCAAAGUGUCACAAGAAUGUGUUUUCUGUUUCCAGAACAAUCCUCUUACUAUUUUAUUACCUUGUUUCUCUGUGAUUUUUUAAACAUUUAAAGGUCUAUUUUAUGUUAGCUUUAUUCAGUCACAUACUAAGAACACGGAUUUCCCAGGGUGGCCAGUUACCAUGCCAAAGAAAGGCUUUUAAAAGCUUUAUUUAUCCACAUUUCAGAUAUAUUUUUUUCAUACCGAGAAAUAGCAUGCUGAGCUUUGCUGUCCCCAAAAAUACUACACAUGCUAUUUUCUCAGGAAGAAGAGUGAGGUUUAUUUUUUGUUAAUGAAAUGCCAAACAAGCCUGGCCGGUGUGCCAGGCAGAAUUAAAUUGCAGCAUCUUUGGCAGUAGUCUUCAUUGUUCCAUCCGUGCAAGUGUUUUAUGAAAAUUUAGCUGAAGCAUUUUAAAAAAAUGUUUUGGCCAGAUUCUUUUUAGAAUAAAGUUGGGACAUUCAGAAAUUUGGGCAGUACUCAUGAUAUUAUAAAUAUUUCCAAGACUGGCUAAAUAAGCCCCAUUGUGAUCUUACUCAUUUGAUUCAGGCUGCUCUUUCCACAUCCAUCUCGAAACUUCAGCCCUUGGCCAACACGAGCAUGAAUGUAGUGGCAAAGUUCAGAUUUACAAACAUUGUUUGUAAAGCCAUUCUAUUUUUAAUUUAAAUUCCCUCAACCUAUGUUUUACAACACUGUUUAUUCACUGUCUCUUUUUGUUCCUCCUAAUAUCAGAGAAGGAACAAACAUACAUGCCUUAAGGAAUCCCUUUGGAAACCAAAGUUUCCAAAAAGCACACAUCAAAAUGGAAAAUAGACAAAAAAUACAUUCCAGUUUUUAAGUACAUUGUCCAGUUUUUAUUAACGUCUUGGGGAUUGGCAAACUUUUACUGAGCUAGUUUAGUGAGCAUUUUAGUUUUUGUGGAGAAUAUGAGGUCUAUUAUGAAUACUCUUCUCUUCUGUGGUAGCUCGAAAGCAGCCAGAGACAAUACCUAAAGAGAAGAGUGUGACUGUGUUCCAGUAAAACUUUAUUGACACAAACAGGCAGCAGCCUGGGUUGGGCCACUGGUAAUGGUUUGCCAGCCCUCCAUGUAGCUUCCCAUUACUCCUCAUUACUUCCAUUAGUAACUUUUUUUGUUUUGAUUUUCGACAUCAUGGAAAUAAAUAUUAAUGCUUUACUUCCGUCACGAGUAAAAUUGUUGGUUAUAUCAAAG